rnacentral:rRNA from 1 species
UACGAAGGUCCCGAGCGUUGUUCGGAAUCACUGGGCGUAAAGGGAGCGUAGGCGGCGCGGUAAGUCAGAUGUGAAAUCCCGGGGCUCAACCCCGGAACUGCAUCCGAUACUGCCGUGCUAGAGGAUUGGAGAGGUAGCUGGAAUUCUUGGUGUAGCAGUGAAAUGCGUGGAUAUCAAAGAGGAACACUCGUGGCGAAAGCGAGCUACUGGACAACUCCUGACGCUGAGGCUCGAAGGCCAGGGUAGCGAAAGGG